CCCAGGAAGGGGCACACACUUUACAUCUGUCCUUACCAGUUGGCCCUAUACAACUGGGGAAGGAGGAUUUUUGCUCCCCAAAUCUUACUUGAAUGCUUUUUAUUUAUAGAAUCUAACCUAGACUUUACUGGGAAGAGAUACAGGGAAGAAUUUAGAAGGGGGUGCAAAUGAUGCUGAACAGAUACAUUGAUUCUGAAUUUUCUAUUUCUGUGUGACCUGGGCCCUAUCCUUUUGAAAUGUAAUCAUCAAGAAAGAUAGCGACCCCAUCUCCCAGUCUUUGUGGGAAGAUUCAUGGUCUCCAUAUGUUGUCUCCAGAAAGAGAGAGAGAGAGAGAGAGAGAAAUCAAUCCCCACCGCAAAGCUUGAGUGAGGCCCAACAGGAAAUGGUCUGUGUCUAUGCUUACUAUGCACUUGUUAAAUUACAUUUACUUCAAUUUCCUGGUCAUGGGUAUCAGUGGACAUUGAUAUAUCAAGAGGAUGAAUAUUUGCUCCCUCUCUGAACCCAGCUGCCAUGCAGUGAGAAGUCCAAGCCAUUAGGAAGGUCCUGUGUAAGCACUCCAGUCAACAGCCCAGCUGAGCUACCAGCCAAAAGCAUCAACCCCAAGCCAUGCAAGUGAAUUAUCUUGGACUUCUUAACUCAUUUGAGCACCCAAAUUGGUGCAUCUCUGGCUGACAUUACAUGGAGCAGAAGAACUAUGCAGAUGAUCCCAGUGAGCCCAUGGAAUCAUGAAGAUAUAAUA